AUACGAAGGGGGCUAGCGUUGUUCGGAAUUACUGGGCGUAAAGCGUGCGUAGGCGGUUCGUUAAGUCAGAUGUGAAAGCCCUGGGCUCAACCUGGGAACUGCAUUUGAAACUGGCGGACUAGAGUUUAGUAGAGGGGAGUGGAAUUUCAGGUGUAGCGGUGAAAUGCGUAGAUAUCUGAAGGAACACCAGUGGCGAAGGCGACUCCCUGGACUAGAACUGACGCUGAGGUACGAAAGCGUGGGUAGCAAACAGGAUUAGAUACCCUGGUAGUCCACGCCGUAAACGAUGUCAACUAGCCGUUGGUCCUAUUUACAGGAUUAGUGGCGCAGCUAACGCAUUAAGUUGACCGCCUGGGGAGUACGGCCGCAAGGUUAAA
rnacentral:rRNA from 1 species